UACGUAGGGUGCAAGCGUUAAUCGGAAUUACUGGGCGUAAAGCGUGCGCAGGCGGUUCGGAAAGAGAGGUGUGAAAUCCCAGGGCUUAACCUUGGAACUGCACUUCUAACUACCGGGCUAGAGUACGUCAGAGGGGGGUAGAAUUCCACGUGUAGCAGUGAAAUGCGUAGAGAUGUGGAGGAAUACCGAUGGCGAAGGCAGCCCCCUGGGAUGAUACUGACGCUCAUGCACGAAAGCGUGGGGAGCAAACGG
rnacentral:rRNA from 1 species